UACGUAGGGUGCGAGCGUUGUCCGGAAUUAUUGGGCGUAAAGAGCUUGUAGGCGGUCUGUCGCGUCUGCUGUGAAAAUCCGGGGCUCAACCCCGGACUUGCAGUGGGUACGGGCAGACUAGAGUGUGGUAGGGGAGACUGGAAUUCCUGGUGUAGCGGUGAAAUGCGCAGAUAUCAGGAGGAACACCGAUGGCGAAGGCAGGUCACUGGGCCGCAACUGACGCUGAGGAGCGAAAGCGUGGGGAGCGAACAGG
rnacentral:rRNA from 1 species